AAACGAUUGAAGUCAGUCGUGACUGAGAGGCUCAGCCGGUUCUGCCGGUGUAUUCCCCUCAGUCGGGUCAACAUCAGUUUUGUUCGGUGGAUAAGGGCAGUUGGAAGGUGGCACCCUCGGGUGUGUUAUAGCCAGCUGUCGCAUACAUCGGAUGAGACUGAGGAAUGCAGCUCGCCUUUAUGGCCGGGGUUCGCCCACGUUCGAGCUUAGGAUGUUGACAUAAUGGCUUUAAACGA
rnacentral:rRNA from 1 species